UGGGAACGGCGCCACCCGGGCCCCAACCCGCUGGACCCUCAGGACCCCAGCCCCGACGCCUACUGCAACCUGGUCAUCCUGGCUGUGCCCAACAGGGAUGCUGCUGAGGAGUCCUGUGCACUCAUCUGUCAGGUUUUCCAGAUCAUCUAUGGGGACCAGAGCAUCGAGUGUGUGGACCGGGCCGGCUACCACUACAUGUCCACACCUGAGCGGCCGUGGCUCUGCAGCCGCAGUGAGAGCUGCCAUACAGAUGGGACUUACGCCUAUGACGCCGACUUCAGCUGCUGCAGCUCCUUCAACGGUUCCCAGGACACAUUUGAAGCGUGCUACAGUGGUACAUCCACUCCUUCUUUCCACGGCUCACACUGCAGUGGCAGUGACCACAGCGGCCUGAGCCUUGAGCAGCUGCAGGAUUACAUGAUCACGCUCCGGAGUAAGCUGGGGUCCUCUGAGAUCCAGCAGUUUGCACUGCUCCUGCGGGAGUACCGGCUGGGACUGCACAUCCAGGACUUCUGUGCCGGCCUGCUGAAGCUCUACGGAGACCACCGCAAGUUCCUGCUCCUGGGGAUGCGGCCCUUCAUCCCAGACCAGGACAUCUGCUACUUCGAGGGCUUCCUGGAGGGCGUGGGUAUCCGAGAGGGCGGCAUCCUCACCGACAGCUUUGGCCGCAUCAAGCGCAGCAUGAGCUCCACGUCGGCGUCAGCGGUGCGCAGCUAUGACGGCGCGGCCCAGCGGCCCGAGGAGCAGGCCUUCCACCGGCUGCUGACAGAUAUCACGCACGACAUUGAGGCGCUGGCCCCUGACGACGAAGACGAUGACGAUGACGGUGACGGUGACGACAAUGACAAUGACAAGUCCCGGGGUGGGGGCAAUGUGGCGGAAGACAACUACCUGUAGCCUCUGCCCCCUUGCAGUCCGCCUCUGAGCCUUCCUUACUCUUGCCUGUGAGACCCCAUCCCUACCCAUCUUUGCUCCCUUGUUGCGUCCCUUCACCAGGGCUCCACUCCCGGGGUCUCUGACCCUGGCCUUUGUGACUCUGGCCCCUGAAGUACCAGAAUGUCCUGCAGGGGGCGGGCGAGGGCAGAUCCUAAAGGCCCGGGCUGUCACCAGGGGUCAGCAGGAGCCAAGGAGCCCUGGUCGGCUUCAGAACAUUUCUUCCUCCUCAGGACCCCUCAGCUUUUCCAAGGCUGAGAGAUGAAGAAGGGCUCCACCUGCUGGCAGACUGAGAAAAGAAUUUUGAGUCAAAUCCACACGACACAUACACUACUUUUUAUACAUGCAUUUUUUCUCAGAGACCUCUACUUCUUUUACAGAUUUGAAAACUGAGUUCAAAAAAGGGCAAGAGGCGUGAGGGAAUCUCCUGAUUCUCCUUUGAUAUUGUUUCCCAGUUUCUUCCUCUCUCCAUUUCAGCCCCACCUUCACAGGGUGGUCAUGGGAAAUUAAUGAAGGGUAAGACCUUAGUGCUGGGCCUAGCGCAUAGUUGAUGCUCAAUAAAUGCUGUUCCUUUCCCUAUGGAAUGCCUUCUGGCUUGGUUUACUGUCUCUUC
rnacentral:lncRNA from 1 species